AAAUUGGAAAAUCUGGAACAAAUGAAGCGAUAGAGCCAGAGUGAUGGGUGGCACUGCAGUUUAUCUCAAAAGAACCAUAAGGCAUGGUGUGUUGAAAGGUUGGGUACUUCAGCGGAUAAAUGGAGGAAGCUCCAAGCUUCAUUUCAUUACAGAAACUUCCACCAAAACUGUGUCUCAAAUAAUCAUUGUCAAAAACUGGUUUUCUAUCAAAACCAGGUCCAAAAUCUUGAAUUUGUGUCUCAGGUUUUGACCUGUUGGUGUU
rnacentral:misc_RNA from 1 species